rnacentral:rRNA from 1 species
UACGUAGGGGGGCUAGCGUUGUCCGGAUUUAUUGGGCGUAAAGAGCGUGUAGGCGGCCAGGUAGGUCUGCUGUGAAAACUCGAGGCUCAACCUCGAGACGUCGGCGGAAACCAUCUGGCUAGAGUCCGGAAGAGGAGAGUGGAAUUCCUGGUGUAGCGGUGAAAUGCGCAGAUAUCAGGAAGAACACCCGUGGCGAAGGCGGGUCUCUGGGCCGAUACUGACGCUGAGGAGCGAAAGCGUGGGGAGCGAACAGG